GGCAGUGUGGCAUAGUGGUCAGUGUAUUGAACUAGGACUCCAGAGACCCAGGUUCUAGUCUCUACUAAGUCU